rnacentral:misc_RNA from 1 species
AACGCAUAUUGUGGACAUGUGCUUGUUGCAUGUCCAUGUUGGGGUCAGGGUCGGUUGAACAUCCAUCAGAAUGCUUUGCGUUUCUGCUAUGGGCUGUCCUAUUUCCCCAACGGGGAAGCAGGUAGCCUCAAGUUGACUUGUGCAGUGCUCUGCCGAAUGACUCUUGGGUCGUAAAAAGCCUGGGUCGCCAGCAGUCAAGCCUGCCCGAGGGAUCAGUGUGGCUGAAAAGCGGACAUGGUGCCAAUUUUGCUCUUUCGACCAGACAGCAAGCAAGACUACCCGCCGAAUUUAA